rnacentral:rRNA from 1 species
CACUUUCAACAACGGAUCUCUUGGCUCUCGCAUCGAUGAAGAACGCAGCGAAAUGCGAUAAGUAAUGUGAAUUGCAGAAUUCAGUGAAUCAUCGAAUCUUUGAACGCACCUUGCGCUCUUUGGUAUUCCGAAGAGCAUGCCUGUUUGAGUGUCA